rnacentral:rRNA from 1 species
GAUGAACGCUGGCGGCGUGCUUAACACAUGCAAGUCGAACGAAGCAUAAGAGUUGCUUGCAACACUUAUGACUUAGUGGCGGACGGGUGAGUAACGCGUGGGUAACCUACCCUGUACAGGGGGAUAACAGUUAGAAAUGACUGCUAAUACCGCAUAAGCACACGCUGUCACAUGACAGAGGGUGAAAAGAUUUAUCGGUACAGGAUGGGCCCGCGUCUGAUUAGCUAGUUGGUGAGGUAAAGGCUUACCAAGGCGACGAUCAGUAGCCGACCUGAGAGGGUGAUCGGCCACAUUGGAACUGAGAAACGGUCCAAACUCCUACGGGAGGCAGCAGUGGGGAAUAUUGGGCAAUGGGCGCAAGCCUGACCCAGCAACGCCGCGUGAAGGAAGAAGGUUUUCGGAUCGUAAACUUCUAUCCUUGGUGAAGAUAAUGACGGUAGCCGAGAAGGAAGCCCCGGCUAACUACGUG